GAGCAAGACUUCAUCUUAAAAAUUAAAAAUCAGAAGAGCAGCCGCCAGCGGAGGGCAGGCCCCGGCGCAGGGCAGAGCGGAAGGGACGGGAGGGGGGGCGCACGGGCCCCCUGGGAGGCCGCGGCCACUCCCCCCACCCCCGCCCGGGCCGGCGCGGCGGGGUAGGAGGAGGAUGGAAACACCCUUCGACGGCCCUUCGUCGGCGAUGAGGCGCUGAGCGGCCUGGGCAGCGGCGACAGUGACAGCAGGGACAACUUUGCGUCCCUGGGCCGCCUGUUCCCUGGGGCGCCCCCGACGGCGGCUGCCGGCAGCAUGAUGAAGAAGGACGCGCUGACGCUGAGCCUGAGCAUGCAUGCAGGUGGCGGCGGCACUCAAGCCCACGGCCGCGCCGCCUCCGACCCACCUGCGCGCCGACAGCGCCCCAGCGCGGCACCCCCAAAUGGCCUGCUCGCCUCGACCGACCUGGGGCUGCUGAAGCUCGACUCCCCCGAGCUCGAGCCCCUCAUCGUCCAGUCCAAUGGGCUGGUCACCACUACGCCGAUGAGCACGCAGUUCCUCUACGCCAAGGUGGUGGCCAGCGAGAAGCAGGAGUUCGCCGAGGGCUUCGUCAAGGCUCUGGAGGAUUUGCACAGGGAGAACUAGCUCGGCCCAGGCGCGGCGGCCGCUGCAGCCGCCGGGCCCUCGGGCACCGCCGUGGGCUCCGCGCCCACACCCCCGCCCCGGCGAGGUGGCCCCGGCCGCGGCCGCGCCCGAGGCGCCAGUCUACGCGAACCUGAGCAGCUACGCGGGCGGAGCCGGGGGCGCGGGGGGGCGUCGCGACGGUCCCCUUCGCCACCGAGCCCGUCCCCUUCCCGCCGCCGCCGCCCACUGGCGCGUUGGUGCCGCCGCCGCCGCCGCCCACGGGCGCGUUGGUGCCGCCGCGCCUCGCUCCGCUCAAGGACGAGCCACAGACUGUGCCCGACGUGCCGAGCCUCGGCGAGAGCCCGUAGCUGUCGCCCAUCAUCAUGGACACGUAGGAGCGCAUCAAGGCGGAGCGCAAGCGGUUGCGCAACCCCUUCGCCGCCUCCAAGUGCCGCAACCGCAAGCUGAAGCGCAUCUCGCGCCUGGAGGAGAAAGUGAAGACUCUCAAGAGCCAGAAUACGGAGCUGGCAUUCACGGCGACUCUGCUGUGCGAGCAGCGGGCUCAGCUCAAGCAGAAAGUCCUCAGUCACGUCAACAGCGGCUGCCAGCUGCCGCCCCAGCAUCAGGUGUCCGCUUACUGAGUCCGCGCGCGGGGCGCAUGCCCGGCCGCCUUCCCCGAGGGGCGGGCUCACGGGGGGGUAUCGUGGGCGCCCGGGACUUGGAGAGGGUGCGGCCCCCGGGGAUCCCCCCGAAGGUGCCCAGGACUCGGAAGGGGUGCCCCGGACUCGACAAACUGGACACCCUGCUCCCAGGGCAUGAGCCCCCGCCCUCGCGCUGCCUCUGUCCUCCGCGGGGCCGCGCCGUGUUGCACAAACCCGCGCGUCUCGCGUGCCCCUUUGUAUACCGCGCCGCGGAAGGGGCUCCAAGGGGGCGCAGCUUCAAACCCUGCCUUUCCUUUUCUUUAACGUUUUUUUUUUCCUUUGGAAAAGAGAAGAACAGAGUGUUCGAUUCUGCCCUAUUUAUGUUUCUACUCGGGAACAAACGUUGGUUGUGUGUGUGUGUGUUUUCUUGUGUUGGUUUUUUUAAAGAAAUGGGAAGAAGAAAAAAAAUUCUCCGUCCCUUUCCUCGAUCUCGCUCCCUCUUCGUCCUUUCGACAGGCUCCCCCUCUCCCUUUUUGUUCUGUUUGUUUUUUGUUUUGUUUUGCUACGAGUCCACAUUCCUGUUUGUAAUCCUUGGUUCCCCCGCCCGGUUUUCUGUUUUCAGUAAAGUCUCCUUACGCCAAAAAAAAAAAAAAAAAAAAAAAAAAAAACAGCCAGGAAUGGUAGCCUGCUCCUGUACUCACAGCUAAUCUGGAGGCUGAGGCAGGAGGACCCCUUGAGCUCAGGGGUCUCACCCUGUCACCCAGGCUGGAGUGAAGUAUGCAGUGAGCUAUGACUGCAUACUUCACUCCAGCCUGGGUGACAGGGUCAGACCCCAUCUCUUUAAAAAAAAAAACAAACAAAAACUAGCCAGGCUCUGUGGCGUAUAGCUGUAAUCCCAGCACUUUGGGAAGCUGAGACAGGAGGAUGCCUUGAGCCCAGGAGUUCAAGGUUGUAGUGAGCUAUGAUCACACCACUGCACUCCAGCCUGGGUGACAGAGCAAGACUGUGUCUCAAAAGAAAAAAAGAAUUACCGUAAUAAUACAUGCCGUCUCACAUAAUUGUGUUAAAAUUAAGUGAUAUGUAAA